AGAUUGAACGCUGGCGGCAUGCCUUACACAUGCAAGUCGAACGGCAGCACGGGAGCAAUCCUGGUGGCGAGUGGCGAACGGGUGAGUAAUAUAUCGGAACGUGCCCAGUCGUGGGGGAUAACGCAGUGAAGCUGUGCUAAUACCGCAUACGAUCUAUGGAUGAAAGGCGGGGGACUCGCAAGAGCCUCGCGCGAUUCGGAGCGGCCGAUAUCAGAUUAGCUAGUUGGUAGGGUAAAGCCCGACCAAGGCCGACGAUCUAGUAGCUGGUUUGAGAGACGACACGCCACACGUGGACUGAGACACCGGCCCAGCUCCUACGGGAGCGAGC
rnacentral:rRNA from 1 species